GACAGAGGGGGCAAGCGUUGCUCGGAAUUACUGGGCGUAAAGGGCGCGUAGGCGGAAUGGCAAGUCGGUCGUGAAAUCCUUCGGCUCAACCGAAGAACGUCGAUCGAAACUGCCGUUCUUGAGGAUUGCAGAGGAGACUGGAAUUCCCGGUGUAGCGGUGAAAUGCGUAGAUAUCAGGAGGAACACCGGUGGUGUAGACGGCUCUCUGGACCGUAACUGACGCUGAGACACGAAAGCGUGGGUAGCAAACAGG
rnacentral:rRNA from 1 species